rfam:Chlamydotis undulata macqueenii contig90474, whole genome shotgun sequence.
CCAAAGGCUCUUUUAAGAGCCACCAAUUUUUCAAGUAGAAGGGCU